CCUACGGGGGGCUGCAGUCGAGAAUCUUUCACAAUGGGGGCAACCCUGAUGGAGCGACGCCGCGUGGAGGAUAAGGUCUUCGGAUUGUAAACUCCUGUCAUGCGAGAACAAGGUUGCAGGGCUAACACCUUUGCAAAUUGAUGGUACCGCAAGAGGAAGCGACGGCUAACUCUGUGCCAGCAGCCGCGGUAAUACAGAGGUGACAAGCGUUGUUCGGAAUCACUGGGCGUAAAGGGUGCGUAGAGAUCGUAAAGCCCGGGGCUCAACCUCGGAAUUGCAUCCGAUACUGCCAUGCUGGAGUACUGAAGAGGUGACUAGAAUUCUAGGGGUAGCAGGGAAAUGCGUAGAUAUCUAGAGGAAUACCAACGGCGAAGGCAGGUCACUGGGCAGUUACUGACACUGAGGCACGAAGGCCAGGGGAGCAAACGGGAUUAGAUACCCCAGUAGUC
rnacentral:rRNA from 1 species